UACGUAGGUGGCAAGCGUUGUCCGGAUUACUGGGCGUACAGGGAGCGUAGGCGGUUGGAUAAGCCCUCCGUGAAAUCUCCAGGCUUAACCUGGAAAGUGCAGAGGGGACUGUUCAGCUAGAGGAUGGGAGAGGAGCGCGGAAUUCCCGGUGUAGCGGUGAAAUGCGUAGAGAUCGGGAGGAAGGCCGGUGGCGAAGGCGG
rnacentral:rRNA from 1 species